GAUGAACGCUGGCGGCGUGCCUAAUACAUGCAAGUCGAGCGAACAGACGAGGAGCUUGCUCCUCUGACGUUAGCGGCGGACGGGUGAGUAACACGUGGAUAACCUACCUAUAAGACUGGGAUAACUUCGGGAAACCGGAGCUAAUACCGGAUAAUAUAUUGAACCGCAUGGUUCAAUAGUGAAAGACGGUUUUGCUGUCACUUAUAGAUGGAUCCGCGCCGCAUUAGCUAGUUGGUAGGGUAACGGCUUACCAAGGCAACGAUGCGUAGCCGACCUGAGAGGGUGGUAGGCCACACUGGAACUGAGACACGGUCAAGACUCCUACGGGAGGCAGCAGUAGGGAAUCUUCCGCAAUGGGCGAAAGCCUGACGGAGCAACGCCGCGUGAGUGAUGAAGGUGUUCGGAUCGGAAAACUCUGUUAUUAGGGAAGAACAAAUGUGUAAGUAACUAUGCACGGCUUGACGGUACCGAAUCAGAAAGCCACGGCUAACUACGUG
rnacentral:rRNA from 1 species